rnacentral:rRNA from 128 species
UCGCCGCCCGUGACUCGGCGAGAAGUCCAUUGAACCUUAUCAUUUAGAGGAAGGAGAAGUCGUAACAAGGUUUCCGUAGGUGAACCUGCGGAAGGAUCAUUG